GACGAACGCUGGCGGCGUGCUUAACACAUGCAAGUCGAACGGAAAGGCCUGCUUUCCCUUGUGGAUUGCGGGUACUCGAGUGGCGAACGGGUGAGUAACACGUGAGUGAUCUGCCCCCAACUUGGGUAUAAGCCUGGGAAACUGGGUCUAAUUCCCGAUAGGACUGCAGGGUGGUGCCUGUGGUGGAAAACGAUUUUCUAGUGGUUGGGGAUGAGCUCGCGGCCUAUCGGUUUGUUGGUGGGGUAAUGGCCUACCAAGGCGGCGACGGGUAGCCGGCCUGAGAGGGUGGACGGCCACAUUGGGACUGAGAUACGGCCCAGACUCCUACGGGAGGCAGCAGUGGGGAAUAUUGCACAAUGGGCGGAAGCCUGAUGCAGCGACGCCGCGUGGGGGAUGACGGCCUUCGGGUUGUAAACUCCUUUCGACCGCGAGGAAGCCACCUGGUUGGAAGGGUGGUGACGGUAGUGGUAGAAGAAGCACCGGCUAACUACGUG
rnacentral:rRNA from 1 species